UUGUGUCCUAAUAUAUUUUUGAAAAUAUAGUGAAAAAUUAAGCACGCUACUCUUUUGUUAAAAAGAACAAAAAAGCAUGUGUACAGUUACAAUUGACACAACCAUGCAUCGAUCCAAGGCCUGUACUUCUUGAACCUAGCUAUUCGCCUUAUUACUUUACAUGUGAUUAACCAAUACAAAUAAAAAAAGGAAGGAAAUAAAUAGAUAACAUAGAAUUUUUGAUGUAUUAAGUACUUAUAUACAUUGACAAUGUUACUAAUUUUACAAUAUGAUGAGCCUCAGGUUAUAAAAACUUAUUCUAGGAGGUCAAAAUAAACUAUUGAAAAACUUAGUAACUGUCACAGUUACUCAUGUAUUAGGGUGGUUUUUCUGGAGAAAAAGGGGCAGGACAAUUUCAAACAGAUAUUCAGAGAAGUAUUUUCAGAAAAAAGGGAAUCCUUUAGGAGAGUCUAGCCUCUCGAAUGUCUAGAAGUAUCAAAUCUGUGUAAUCUCAUUAUUAGGUAUUGUGUAACUGAAUGUCGUUCAUGUCUUAGGUUGUAAUUUAAGGUGUUAGCAGUGUUUAAGUGGCUGUUUUCAGAUUUCUUGUUGUAAUAUCAGUGUAUCUAGUGUAAAACAUCAGUAUUUGUUCCUUUAUUUACUGUUCCACGCAGAAAAGUCUAUUAAAUUUGGUAACAGAGAGGAAACGUUCCGGCAUGGUGAGUAAAAUGCGGGGACGAGUUGAACAAGUCGAAACUAAUUUGACAGGGGUAAGAGAAGAUGUCAGAAAACUGGAACGAUUGUUUCAAGAAAUGAGAGUUUCUUGCCAGAAUUGAACCACAAGGGAAAACUGUAAUGGCAGAACCAUCCGCUUCUCAAACCAGAUCUGCAAGGGAAGCAAUGUUAACUCCAACGGGGAAAAAGAUGGGAAGAAUUUCGGAAACUACAACUACCGGUUUUCGAAGGAAAGGACCCUUUGGGAUGGAUUUUAAAGUGGAACAAUACUUUGCAGUGAAUGACAUUUCUGAAGCAGAAAGAUUACAGGAAACCGGCGUUUGUUUGGAAGGAAAAGCCUAAAAUUGGUAUUAUUAGUUAGAGUCUAGACAAACAAUAUCAACCUGGGAAGUCUUCAAAAAAGAGUUACUGAAUCGAUUUCAUCAUUCCCAAAAGAGCAACCAGUAUGCCGUCUUUAUGGGGGCUAAAGCAGGUCACCACUGUUCCAUCAUUUCGUGAAGAAUUUGAGGAAGUGUCAGCGUCUAUGAAGGAAGAGUCUGAUGGGUUCUUAUCUAGGGUGUUUUUGAAUGGCCUUAAGGAAGAAAUUCGAGCAGAAGUGAUGUUUCCACGGGCUCAAACAUUGAGGGAGAUAAUGUAGAUGGCUCAAAAGGUGGAGGAUCGGAAUUCUAUUUUGGAGCAAGUUCAAGGGUUCAAAUCUAAACCGGCAGUUCAAGCAAUAAACAAGUUGUGUUUAGACCCAAUUACUCUUGGGUCACAAACAUACUUGAAGCAUAUGGAUCAAGCCAGAGCAGCAGGACACAACGUUGAUUCGCAAAUGAAUACUGUAGCAAAAUCAACUGGUUUUAAUGCGUCUUCUUCAGCAAAAUUCGAGGGACAAUUCAGAAGGUUGUCUGAUUCAUAAAAUGCCAAAAAAAGAGAGUUAAGGUUAUAUUUCAUAUGUGAUGGAAAAUUUGGCCCUAACCAUCGUUGUAAAAAUAGGCAACUGAACCUCUUGUUUGUUUCAGAGGCACCCAACACAGAUGAAAAGAAAACAGAAAAAUUCUUCGUGGUUGCAGGAGAUGAUGUAGACGAAGGAGAACAAAAGGCCACUAUGAUGGUGUUGAAUAUGAAUUCAGUAGUGAGCCUUACAGGAGGAAAAACUAUGGAAUUUGUGGGACUAAUGGACAGCGGAUCUACCCAUACUUUUAUAUCUUCCGCGCUUGCUCAUCACUCGUAUUUACCUAUUGAGAAGACCAACAGAUUUGAAGUGACAAUUGGUAAUGGUCAACAGGUUGAUGGGAAUGAAGUAUGCAAAGGGGUGUGAUUAGACGUUCAAGGCGUACAAAUUCACCGACAUUAUUUUUUGUUUGAGUUGAGUGGAACUGACGUGGUGUUGGGGAUGAAAUGGCUGGCUAGCCACUUUGGGUGAGAUGAGUGUAAACUGGUAACUUCUCAACAUGAAAUUAAAGAUGCAGGAAGAUUGGUGUCGCUUCGAGGGGAUCCAGCUAUGGUUCAAACAGUAGUGUCACUAAGAGCCAUGAAUAAUCUGUUAAAAAAAGAAAUCAGGGAUUCUUAAUUGAGUUGAAUCACGUAACAGCAAAUGAAGGCGAAACAAUUAUUACAUCAAAGGAGAUUGAGGACUUGUUAUCUGAUUACCCAAAAGCAUGCGCCCAAGCUUCAAGUCAACCACCACACCUUUCUCGGUAUCAUGCUAUUACUAUUCAAUCUGGAAAACAACCACCUAACAUUCGUCCAAAUCGAUAUCCUCAUUCUAAAAAAGCUGAGAUUGAGCGUUUAGUCCAGGAGAUGUUGGCUGCUAGAAUAAUUAGGGCUAGUACUAGUCCAUAUUCUAGUCUGGUGUUACUCGUUAAGAAAAAUGAUGGAAGUUGGCAUUUUUGUGUUGAUUAGCGAGCUCUUAAUGACAUCAAAGUUCCUGAUAACUUUCCAAUACCAUGCAUUGAUGAGUUACUGGAUGAGCUAGGGGGAGCCGCCAUAUUUACCAAGUUAGACCUCAAGUCAGUUUAUCAUCAGAUUCACAUUCAAAUAGAAGAAGAAGCGAAAACGGCCUUCCGCACCCAUGAGGGACAUUAUGAGUUUAUGGUCAUGCCAUUUUGCUUGACCAAUGCACCCUUGACUUUUCAGUCAUUGAUGAAUGAUAUUUUCAGGGAACAUUUGUAGAUUUUAUUUUAGUGUUCUUUGAUAAUACUUUGAUUUACAGUAAAGAGACUAUGCUUCUCAUCUUGAACAUCUGAAGAUUGCUUUAGAUAUUUUCAAACAAAACCAGCUGGUAAUCAACGAGACAAAAUGCAUGUUUGGGCAACUUAAACUGGAAUAUUUAGGUCAUAUCAUCUUCGAUGAAGGAGUGCGAUAAGAUCCUUCCAAGAUUGAGAGUAUGAUAUCUUGGCCAGUUUUUAGAGAUAUCAAGUCAUUGCGGGGAUUUUUAGGACUCAUAGGGAGAACAAGCUCAACAAGUAUUUGAAGCAUUGAAGUUGGCGAUGACUCAAGUGUCUACUUAGCGAUGCCGGACUUUUCUCAGCCAUUUAUAAUUGAAGCUGAUGCUUCAGGAUUUGGCAUUGGUGCAAUUUUAAUGCACAAAGGUAAACCUAUUGCAUAUUUCAAUCGAAUGCUUUCUUCUAGAGCAAGACAAUGUUCAGUAUAUGAACGGAAGCUAAUGGUCAUUGUGUUGGUUGUCACGAGAUACAACAACAACAACAACAACAACCCAGUGAAAUCCCACAUCGUGGGGUCUGGGGAGGGUAGAAUGUACGCAGACCUUACUCCUACCAAGGUCGUCAAGAGAUGGAAUCUCUAUUUGAUGGGUCAUCAUUUCAUUAUUAAAACUGACCAAAAAGCGCUUAAAUUUUUGCUGGAAUGGAGAGUUAUGGGUGAGAAUCACCAGAAGUGGGUUUCCAAACUCAUGGGUUAUAAGUUUGAGAUCAAGUACAACUCGGGUACUGAAAAUAGAGUAGUUGAUGCGCUGUCAAGAAGCGGGGAAUCUGCAGAGUUAUAUGCAUUUUCAACUUGGAAAUAUCAUGACAAGGAGAAAUGAGACCAAGAAAUACAACGAGACACCAAAAUGGCUUCUAUUUUGCAAAAGCUAAUUUCAAGACUACUAGUAGAUGACAACUACAACUUGAAGAAUGGAUGUCUACUAUUCAAAGAACGCUUGUUUUUGCCAAAAGGAUCAUCUCGAAUACCUGGGCUAUUGAAAGAGUUCUAUUUCUCUCCUAUAAGAGGCCAUUCGGGGUAUCUUCGCACAUAUUAGAGGCUAUCCGAGAAUAUCUAUUGGGAAAGAGGGAUGUAUUGCCAGGUGUGAAAUUAGUCAAAAUAACAAGUGUCAAACUUUGAGUCCCGUGGGGUUACUCCACCUGUUACCUAUACCUUAUCAUGUGUAAGAGGAUGUAAAUAUGAACUUCAUUACUAGCCUCAUUCCUAAAUCCAAUAAGUUUGAUACUAUAUUGGCUGUGGUGGAUUGUCUUACUAAGUACACACAUUUUAUUCCACUUUCAUACCCUUUUAAUGCUAAAGAUGUGGCUGAUGUUUUCAUUAAGGAAGUGGUUAAAUUACAUGGAUUUCCUAAAUUUAUUGUGUCUGAUCGUGACUGUGUGUUCAUAAGCCAAUUUUGGAGGGAAUUGUUCAAAAUAACAGGUACUACCGUACGCUAUAACUCUUCCUACCAUCUGGAGACCGAUGGACAAACAAAAGUGGUGAAUAGGAGUUUGGAGACAUCUUCGUUGCAUGGCAGGAGAAAAUCCUAAGCAAUGGUCUCACUGGUUAUCUUGGGCUGAGUAUUUGUUUAAUACAUCCUUUAACUGAUCUGCAGGUAUGACACCCUUUAAAGCAUUAUAUGGGAGGGAUCCACUAUCAAUUUUUGACAUGGGUGACAUAGCAAUGGAAGAUGUGAAUAAGUAGGUGCACACUAAAAAUCUGAUCUUGACCAAACUCAAAUAUCAUCUGUACAAGCACAACAAAGAAUGAAGAAUCAAGCUGAUCGACAUCAUAGAGAAGUGAUUUUUGAGAUUGGUGAAAUGGUAUAUCUCAAACUUCGGCCCUACAAACUACAUUCUUUGGCUAAGAAGAUUAAUGAAAAACUUAGUCCCAGCUUUUAUGGCCUUUCAAGAUUCCGAAAAAGCUUGGUCUCGUAGCUUAUCAGUUGGAGUUGCCCGUUGGAGCACGCAUUCAUUCAAUGUUUCAUAUUUCACAAUUGAGAAAAUGUUUGCUACCAACUACUCCUGCUCAAAACCUACCUCUAUUUCUUACGCAAGAUUUGGAGCUUCAAGUUGAGCCUAAAGCAGUAAGGCAGACCAGGAAGCUUAUCAAUGGUAAGUGGGAAGUGUUAAUCAAGUGGAAGAACCUGGCAGAAUUUGAGAAUACUUAGGAGGACUAUGCUAUCAUUGAUCUACAAUUUCCUGACUUUUACCUUGAGGAAAGGGUGACUCUUAUAGGGGAGGGUAAUGAUGAGCCUCAGGUUAUAAAAACUUAUUCUAGGAGGCCAAAAUAAACAAUUGAAAAACUUAGUUACUCAUGUGCUAGGGUGAUUUUUUCUGGAGAAAAAGGGGCAGGACAGCUUCAAAAAGAUAUUCAGAGAAGUAUUUUCAGAAAAAAGGGAAUCAUUUAGGAGAGUCUAGCCUCUCGAAUGUCUAUAAGUAUCAAAUCUGUGUAAUCUCAUUAUUAUGCACUGUAUAACUGAAUCUUAGGUUGUAAUUUAAGGUCUUAGCAGUGUUUGAGUGGUGAA